UUGCAGGGAGUGGAGCAGGAGGGCGGCUCUUGUCGCGACUCGUCAGAGAGUGGUGGAGCUGCAUGGAAUCCAUUGCAGGGAGUGGAGCAGGAGGGUGGCUCUUGUCGCGACUUGUCAGAGAGCCCUGAUCCAUCGGCUGGAGCUCAGCUGGGACAUCUGAUGGAGCAGAAUGUCUCUCUAUUGUUGAUCUGGGAGAAGCUCGGAUGUCUCCGAAGCUGCUGACG
rnacentral:lncRNA from 1 species